rnacentral:tRNA from 1 species
GGGGAUGUAGCUCAGUGGUAGAGCAUUUGCCUAGCAUGAUCAAGGUUCUAGGUUUGAUCCCCAUUCCCU